rnacentral:misc_RNA from 1 species
AUUCUCAACCCAACAAGHUCUUAACGGGACUUUGCUUGUGGCUUGGACUUGGAGGAUUGHCGGCUCAUUAGCAGUCGGCUCCUCUCAAAUGCAUUAACUUGGUUCCUUGCGGAUCGGCUCACGGUGHGAUAAUUGUCUACGCCGCGACCGUUGAAGCGUUUAAUGGCCAGCUUCUAAUCGUCUCUUGCGAGACAGCAUUCAUCGAA